rnacentral:rRNA from 1 species
AGAGUUUGAUUCUGGCUCAGGAUGAACGCUGGCGGCGUGCCUAACACAUGCAAGUCGAACGGACUUAAUUUGAAACCUAGUGAUAAUUAAGUGAGUGGCGGACGGGUGAGUAACGCGUGGAUAACCUGCCGUAUGCAGGGGGAUACCAACUGGAAACAGUUGCUAAUACCGCAUAAGCGCACGGUGUCGCAUGACACAGUGUGAAAAGGUUUAACGGCAUACGAUGGAUCCGCGUCCGAUUAGCCAGUUGGCGGGGUAACGGCCCACCAAAGCGACGAUCGGUAGCCGGCCUGAGAGGGCGGACGGCCACAUUGGGACUGAGACACGGCCCAAACUCCUACGGGAGGCAGCAGUGGGGAAUAUUGCACAAUGGGGGAAACCCUGAUGCAGCGACGCCGCGUGAGUGAAGAAGUAUUUCGGUAUGUAAAGCUCUAUCAGCAGGGAAGAAAGGUGCCCCUUGGGCGCCUGGACGGUACCUGACUAAAAAGCCCCGGCUAACUACGUGCCACCAGCCGCGGUAAUACGUAGGGGGCAAGCGUUAUCCGGAUUU